rnacentral:rRNA from 1 species
GGGUGCCCAGGCGCGAAAACUUUACCCUGCGGGCAACCGUGAUAAGGAAACCCCGAGUGCCACCACAGGGUGGCUGUCCGCCAGUUUAAACAACUGGUGAAGAAAGGGCCGGGCAAGACCGGUGCCAGCCGCCGCGGUAAUACCGGCGGCUCGAGUGGUGGCCGCUUUUACUGGGCUUAAAGGGUCCGUAGCUGGAUCUGUGUGUCCCUUGAGAAAUCUAUCGGCUCAACUGAUAGGCGUUCAGGGGAAACUGCAGUUCUAGGGACCGGGAGAGGUGAGAGGUACUGCCGGGGUAGGAGUGAAAUCCUGUAAUCCCGGUGGGACGACCUAUGGCGAAGGCAUCUCACCAGAACGGCUCCGACAGUGAGGGACGAAAGCUGGGGGAGCAAACCGGAUUAGAUACCCGGGUAGUCCCAGCUGUAAACGAUGCGCAUUAGGUGUGUCAGUGACCACGUGUCACUGAGGUGCCGAAGGGAAACCGUGAAAUGCGCCGCCUGGGGAGUACGGUCGCAAGGCUGAAACUUAAAGGAAUUGGCGGGGGAGCAC